rnacentral:tRNA from 1 species
ACUAAUGUAGUUUAAUAAAAACACUUGAUUUCGACUCAGGAAAACUGAACCACUCAGCAAUAGU